rnacentral:rRNA from 1 species
GUGCCAGCAGCCGCGGUAAUACAGAGGGUGCGAGCGUUAAUCGGAAUUACUGGGCGUAAAGGGCGCGUAGGUGGUUACUUAAGUCAGAUGUGAAAUCCCUGGGCUUAACCUAGGAAUUGCAUUUGAAACUGAGUAGCUAGAGUAUGGUAGAGGGAAGUGGAAUUUCCGGUGUAGCGGUGAAAUGCGUAGAUAUCGGAAGGAACACCAGUGGCGAAGGCGACUUCCUGGACCAUUACUGACACUGAGGCGCGAAAGCGUGGGGAGCGAACAGGAUUAGAUACCCUGGUAGUCC